GUGACUUGACAGGAAUGUUUAACCUAUGAGCACAUUGACCUAGGCUGAGGGGUGUGGUUAUCCUCCAGAGAGCAUGCAGGACAGGAGGAGGAGGAGGAGAACUCCCGCUCCUCUGACUUCCUGGAGUAAAGCAAUGUCACAUAUGUGGUCAUACACACAGACGACAACAACCCACGCUCACAAGCUUUAACACGGCACACCAGGAAACCUUUGUCCCUUGGCUAAGGUCGUUUGGAUGUUGCUGGCCUAAAGCAUGCUCCUGUGGCAAUACCUGACACUGCUCUUUCUGAUAACUGUUCAAAUAUGUAAAGCCCACAGCUGUGCAGAGUUUACAGAUCUACGUUUUCAUCAUUCCUUCAUUGGGACCAAACUGAGAGUCCAGUUGUUGCUGUACACCAGCGCUAAUCCAACCUGCGGUAUCCUUCUGUCCCACACCAACCUGUCCGCCCAUCCUCAGUUUAACUUGUCCAAACCCAUCACCUUUGUCAUCCAUGGGUACCGGCCAACAGGAUCUAGGCCCGUGUGGUUAAAUAGGAUCAAACAGGUGCUUCUGGACAGGAAAGACAUGAAUGUUUUGAUAGUGGACUGGAACUGCGGAGCCGCAAAUGUCAACUAUUUGAAAGCGGUGGAAAACACGUACAAAGCAGCAGAGAACAUCACCGCAUUCAUCAAAAUGAUGGUGAAAUAUGGAGCCUCUCUGAGUUCGAUCCACAUGAUUGGAGUCAGUCUUGGAGCUCAUAUUUCAGGUCUUGUAGGUGCUAACUUGAACAGUACAAUUGGAAGAAUUACAGCUUUGGAUCCUGCUGGGCCUCAGUUCACCAUCACUUCUCCAGAGAACAGACUGGAUCACACUGAUGCACAGUUUGUGGAUGUCGUGCACACAGACGUCGACGCCUUGGGCUACAGCAUGCCACUAGGUCACAUUGAUUUCUAUGCUAAUGGUGGAAAAGACCAACCUGGCUGCCCGAAAACCAUCUUUUCUGGAACGUCAUACUUUAAGUGUGACCACCAGAGGUCAGUGUUACUAUUUAUCGACUCCGUGGAUCGGACUUGUGACAGCAGGGCCUUCCCCUGCUCGUCCUAUUCUGAAUACCUGGAUGGACAUUGCUUGGACUGUAAGCAGUUUGGUGCUGCAGGAUGCCCCAUUUUUGGUUAUGACGUCACAGAGUGGAAAAAUGUCCUGCUAAAAUCACACCCGAUAAAAACCUACUUUAUGACCAACAAAGCGGCCCCAUUCUGCAGACGGCGGUGGGAUUCGAACAACGGACUGCUUGAACUGAAGGCCAAAACUCUACCAGGUCAUCCAAAGGGCAAUUCCCCACUAGCCAACCUAGCAGGAACAUUUUUCAAUCUGGACUUCACCUUGCCACAAUGGGGAAGAGUGUUGAAGUGACAGUUGUCCAGAAGACACUCAUGGACCCCAUGCACAGGGAGGUUAAGCCACAGAAGGUUAUUGCUGAAAGCUCUGGCUGUUCAGAAUUAUGGAUCAAAGAAUAUUAAUGGAAAGUUGACUGGAGGAGAAAAGUGUGGUCGGAACAGAUGCACAAACAACAGAGACGAAUGCUGCCUUGAGAAGACCAAAGCAAAGUUGAUUCAAGGAUUUCAGGGAGCUUCACAAGGAACAGAUUGAGACUGUGCAACCAACUACAUGGUGGAUGUGGUGAUUUGGAACGAGUACACACGCUGGGGCUACAUUACCAUCAAACUUAAUGGUGACGGUAAAGAAGCAUUCUCAAUCAUUACCCA